rnacentral:rRNA from 1 species
GAACGCGAAGAACCUUACCCGGGCUUGAACUAAGAGUGACUUAUCUAGAGAUAGAUAUUUCUUCGGACACUCUUGGAGGUGCUGCAUGGUUGUCGUCAGCUCGUGCCGUGAGGUGUCGGCUUAAGUGCCAUAACGAGCGCAACCCUUUUCCUUGGUUGCCAUCAGGUAAUGCUGGGCACUCCAGGGAUACUGCCAUCGUAAGAUGUGAGGAAGGUGGGGAUGACGUCAAAUCAGCACGGCCCUUACGUCCGGGGCUACACACGUGUUACAAUGGGGGGUACAGAAGGUCGCUACCUGGUGACAGGAUGCUAAUCUCAAAAACCUCUCUCAGUUCGGAUUGGAGUCUGCAACCCGACUCCAUGAAGCUGGAUUCGCUAGUAAUCGCGCAUCAGCCAUGGCGCGGUGAAUACGUUCCCGGGUCUUGUACACACC